rnacentral:rRNA from 1 species
AUACGUAGGUGACAAGCGUUAUCCGGAUUUACUGGGCGUAAAGGGCGUGUAGGCGGUCUUGCAAGUCAGAAGUGAAAUUCCUGAGCUCAACUCGGGCGCUGCUUCUGAAACUGCAGGACUUGAGUGCUGGAGGGGAUAGCGGAAUUCCUAGUGGAGCGGUAAAAUGCGCAGAUAUUAGGAAGAGCACCGGUGGCGAAGGCGGCUAGCUGGACAGUACCUGACGCUGAGGCGCGAAAGCGUGGGGGGCAAAAAGGAAUAGAUACCCAGGUAGUCCACGCCGUAAACAAUGAAUACUAGGUGUAGGGGGUAUCGACUCCCCCUGGGCCGCAGUUAACACAAUAAGUAUACCGCCUGGGGAGUACGGCCGCAAGGUUGAAACUCAAAUGAAUUGGCGGGG